GGCCAGCUACAUCGACUAUCUCUCGUCGGAUAGUGGAAGACCGGAUCAAGAGACAUCGGUUGAGAGGAGAGGCGGCGGCGGUUCUUCCUUGGGUGAGCAAAUUUCUUGCCCGCCGCCUCUCUCGCCGUCCGUCGAGAUCGACAUUUCUUUGCUUUGAUCCGGCCAGCGAUGAUGGCCCCCUCUCACGCCCAUUGCCUAUCACCGUCGCGGCCUCCGCCGAGCCUUGGGAGCGUCAGCCUCGGCCGUUGCGGGGGGGCUCCUCGGGCCUCCUUCGUUGCUUCUUGUUCGGAGCUGCCGUGGAGGAAAUGGUGUAUUGCCUCCUUCCUUGCCUCUGUAGCAGCUGCCUUCGCAUCCAUGAGGAUGCUAAUAGGCCGUAUAUCACCAAAUCUUCAAUAGAUACUCUAUUUAAUGAGAAGAUAUGACCAGAUAAGAGGAUCUGCAAUGGGUAUAAGAGGCUCAUGAUCCCGAGAUUUACACCCACAGCUGCAAUGGAAUUCAAAAGCUUAGUUCUAAUAUCAGUUGUCUUUGGAAGUCUA